AACGAACGCUGGCGGCAUGCCUAACACAUGCAAGUCGAACGAGACCUUCGGGUCUAGUGGCGCACGGGUGCGUAACGCGUGGGAACCUGCCCUUAGGUUCGGAAUAACUCCCCGAAAGGGGUGCUAAUACCGGAUAAUGUCUUCGGACCAAAGAUUUAUCGCCUUUGGAUGGGCCCGCGUUGGAUUAGCUAGUUGGUAGGGUAAAAGCCUACCAAGGCGACGAUCCAUAGCUGGUCUGAGAGGAUGAUCAGCCACACUGGGACUGAGACACGGCCCAGACUACUACGGGAGGCAGCAGUGGGGAAUAUUGGAAAAUGGGCGAAAGGCUGAUCCAGCAAUGCCGCGUGAGUGAUGAAGGCCUUAGGGUUGUAAAGCUCUUUUACCCGGGAUGAUAAUGACAGUACCGGGAGAAUAAGCACCGGCUAACUCCGUG
rnacentral:rRNA from 1 species